AUUCAGGUAGCUUAUCCAGUUAGAGAAAAGGACUAAAAAUCCUUGUGUCAGUGGUUUGAAUCCACUUCUAAGCA
rnacentral:tRNA from 1 species